GAUGAACGCUAGCGGCAGGCCUAACACAUGCAAGUCGAGGGGUAACAGGUUUAGCAAUAAAUGCUGACGACCGGCGCACGGGUGAGUAUCGCGUUUGCAACCUACCUUUAACUGGGGAAUAGCCCGGAGAAAUUCGGAUUAAUACCCCAUAAUAAUAAGAGGAGGCAUCUCCUUUUGUUUAAAGCUCUGGCGGUUAAAGAUGGGCAUGCGUGACAUUAGCUUGUUGGUGAGGUAACGGCUCACCAAGGCUACGAUGUUUAGGGGGUCUGGGAGGAUGAUCCCCCACACUAGUACUGAGACACGGACCAGACUCCUACGGGAGGCAGCAGUUAGGAAUAUUGGGCAAUGGGCGCAAGCCUGACCCAGCCAUGCCGCGUGCAGGAUGAAGGCGCUAUGCGUUGUAAACUGCUUUUGUACAGGAAGAAACCCAUCUACGUGUAGGUGGUUGACGGUACUGUCAGAAUAAGCAUCGGCUAACUCCGUGCCAGCAGCCGCGGUAAUAC
rnacentral:rRNA from 1 species